rnacentral:rRNA from 1 species
UACAGAGGUCCCGAGCGUUGUUCGGAUUCACUGGGCGUAAAGGGUGCGUAGGUGGCCUAGACAGUUUGAUGUGAAAGCUCAGGGCUUAACCCUGAAAUGGCAUUGAAUACUGCUGUGCUGGAGGUUUGGAGGGGGGACUGGAAUUCUUGGUGUAGCAGUGAAAUGCGUAGAUAUCAAGAGGAACACCAGUGGCGAAGGCGAGUCCCUGGACAACACCUGACACUGAGGCACGAAAGCUAGGGGAGCAAACAGG